rnacentral:rRNA from 1 species
GUCGAGAAUAAUUCACAAUGGACGAAAGUCUGAUGGUGCAACGCCGCGUGGAGGAUGACGGUCUUCGGAUUGUAAACUCCUGUCAUCCGGGAGUAAGACCUGGCUGUGAAUAGCAGACAGGGUUGAUAGUACCGGAAGAGGAAGGGACGGCUAACUUCGUGCCAGCAGCCGCGGUAAUACGAAGGUCCCGAGCGUUGUUCGGAAUCACUGGGCGUAAAGGGAGCGUAGGCGGCGUGGUAAGUCAGAUGUGAAAUCCCGGGGCUCAACCCCGGAACUGCAUCCGAUACUGCCGUGCUAGAGGAUUGGAGAGGUAGCUGGAAUUCUUGGUGUAGCAGUGAAAUGCGUGGAGAUCAAGAGGAACACUCGUGGCGAAAGCGAGCUACUGGACAAUAUCUGACGCUGAGGCUCGAAGGCCAGGGUAGCGAAAGGGAUUAGAAACCCCUGUAGUCC